AGUGAACGCUGGCGGUAGGCCUAACACAUGCAAGUCGAACGGCAGCACAGUAAGAGCUUGCUCUUACGGUUGGCGAGUGGCGGACGGGUGAGGCAUACAUCGGAAUCUACUUUUUCGUGGGGGAUAACGUAGGGCAACUUACGCUAAUACCGCAUACGACCUUCGGGGGGAAGCAGGGGGUCUUCAGACCUUGGGCGAGUGAAUGAGCCGAUGUCGGAUUGGCUAGUUGGCGGGGUAAAGGCCCACCAAUGCGACGAGCCGUAGCUGGUCUGAGAGGAUGAUCAGCCACAGAGGAACAGAGAAACGGUCCAGACACCUACGGGAGGCAGCAGUGGGGAAUAUUGGACAAUGGGCGCAAGCCUGAUCCAGCCAUACCGCGUGGGUGAAGAAGGCCUGCGGGGUGUAAAGCCCUUUUGUUGGGAAAGAAAAGCAGCAGGUUAAUACCCCGCUGUUCUGACGGUACCCAAAGAAUAAGCACCGGCGAACUUCGU
rnacentral:rRNA from 1 species